AAAAAAAAAAAAGAAAAAACUAUGUACAAACAAAAAAAUCACCAUGUUAAGAAAGAGAAUUCUUCAAAAAAUUACGAGGAACUCAAGGUACAUAAACUAAUUGAAGUUCCUCCAUAUCCAAGUCUUACUUACACAUCGAACGGAUUCGAGGCUUUUAGGCCCCAAAAAGAAGCUAAUGUAACGAAUGAAAGACAAGAGUAUCGAUGGAAUAGUACUGAAUAUGUUGAUCGAGAAGAGAAAAGCUAUGGAAAAAUCGCGUAUGAAGAAGAAGAAGAUGUUGAUGCUGAAGCAAAUAAUUUCAUCAAAUGGGAGCAUGAUAAAUUCAAUCGUGCUAAAUUGAUGUCCAUGGAGUCCUUUUAUUGAUGACUAUAUAACGACUAAGUUUGAAUAUUUAUAAAUAAAAUGAGGCAUAUGGGACUCCUUUUUAUUUAUAAAAUUAAGAAAUAUCUAAGCUUGAAUAUUGAUGCAUUUUAGCUAAAUAAAUUGUAAUCGGUUGUGUUUUUUGUAUUUGCUUUUAUUAGUACUAUUGUACUCAAGAUUGAUAGUCGUUGACUUGUGAUUUUAUGU
rnacentral:misc_RNA from 1 species